UCUUUUGGAAGUGCCAAGCUUUAUAGUAGCCCCGCAAACCCUGGAAACCCUUGUUGGCCUGAGCGGCAAACAGAAGCCGCCAGUUUAUGGAAACCAGACUUUGCUCAUGGAAGUAAACGGUAGCUCUAAUAACGACGGCAGCAGCGUUGAUCUUAGCCAGCCGCUAAUGCCCAAAGUAAAUAUGACCAAACGCAGCUGGAGGCUGCGGACACAGCAAUGACUCGAGGGGCGAGCCAGGGACUCGCGAAUUGGGCGGAAGGCGGUAAACGGCGGUAACGGUGCCAUCGGCAGGGAAGCGGCAGACCGUCAGAGAAUGGCCGGUAAUCGGAUAGGAAGAUGGGGCGAUCCAACUGUUGGAGACCGUUAGGCAACAGAGCACUAGCGGAGACUGGAAAAUGGGGAAACGAGAUGCGUACGGAACGUGCUCGCUGUUACCAAAUGAAAUCGACGUAAAUGGUUCUUACAAUCGGGUUGAUAUCAUAAUUUUAACACUCAAACUCAGUGCUUAGAAAGCAGGAAACAAGUUUAAAUCAUCGGCGUUUUAUUAACAAAAACAAAUUUAAUUGAGCGCGAUCGAUGCAGUAACAUUCAGCCGCCAAUCCAGAUCCACAGGAGAGCUCAAAAGGAUAGCUAUGCUGCCAUAACCACCGGCCCCCGGUACUUAACCUUUUCAAGAGGCGACCGAACGACAGUGGAUCGACUAUGUGAGUAGUGAAGCAGCAAACGCUUUAAACAGAUACACCUGAUCUUCAUAAACCAGCAUAAGUGAAAGCUUCUUCCGCAAUGACAGUUUUUCUCUGGUCUUUCGACGUCUUCACCUGUCCUUCCGCAUCCGGCCCCUUUCUGCUGCCUUACCUCUUACGACCCCUAGUUGGCCGUCGUCCACACAUCCCAAAUGACGAGGGUUUGCGGCAUCUGGUCUGAGCAAAUUGACACGAACUUAGCCUGUCAGCACCAAACACUUUUUCAUUAGAUGCCAUUCGAGACUGGUUGGGUAAUAGUAGCACACUUUGUCGAUUAUGGCGACAGGUGUCUGCGUGGCCCGACCUACCGGGCUGCUCUAAAGGACAACAACCCCAAUAUGGGUCAAAACUGACACACAGGUUCUUUCGCGUGCAAUCAAAGCCGUACACUGCUUGCAGUUGCACCCUAGCACACGGUCAUAGAGAACAUACAUACAAACCGCCCCCACAAUCUUACUGACUACACGUUAUCUCAGACAUCUGUGCGCGGGUAAACCUCUCACGAUAACAAGAAUAGAGAGAAGCAAACAGCAAGAAACGAGUCCGGAGAGUGGGCGUAUGGGCACUAACGCCAACGAUGCCAGUGGAACGAUGACAUGAACAGUGUGUGUAUAUGCGUGUCUAUAGCUUAUGUGUGUAUCACUAGCUAACGACAGGGGCAAGGCCAGUCAGUAGAGGUUUCCGAAGCUACAGUUAUGGACUGCCAUUCUUUCACUUGCUAAACGACUACCGACUAACCCACCACCGACGGCCAUCGAGCCAAACAACCACCAUUCACUACAUGUAGCUUUCGGUAUGUAUAGAGUACGAAAGGCGGUGACGGGUCAGUGAGGCAAGGUGUUAACUGCAAAUCUGCUUCAUCGCCGCCCUUAGAGGAGGUCCAACGGCUCACAGGACCAGACAAGAUUUAACGCGACAUAAGGUUGUGUGAAGUAUUUUAUAGCUUUCAUCAAUUGACGCACUCACGUGCUUCUGUCCCGCCCAAAAAGGUAACGUCUACCUGGUUCCCUGGAAGAGGGUAAGAAGCGAAGGAGUUCCAGGAAACAGUACGUACGGUAAGAAGGGAAAGUAGACAUGAACACCAAAAUGUGCGCGGAAAACACGCUGCCAAUAAAGGAUGUCCGAUUCAAUUCGAUUAGUUGUAUUCCACAAAUGUAUUCUUCCGUUGUUUCUCAGA